CCCGGCGUUUUCCUCUACGAGCUGGGGCUGGCGUGCGGUUCUCCUCGCCGGUCUCACUUCUCCCCUUCCUCCUCUACGGUGCUCGACAGAGGCAGCGCGGCCGCCCCUCUUCUCCCUCGCUGUUGGCUGCCCCUGAGCACCACGCUGCUCACCGGACCGAUUUGUGACACCCCCACCGACCUGAGAUCCGCCUCUGCAGGCGCACACAAGGAGCUCUUCUCCACGAUGCCAGUGGCCAGCGCACAGGGUCUCUGCUCGACCGUAUCCCGGCAAGCAAGCAGGACCUCCAUGGAUGAGGACGACCACCGGUACCUACACAAUGAUGUCGACGCCCCGCACAUGGCCGAGCUGGACGGAACAACGAUGCCUUGGUCGCUCGCCGUGGUCACGGGUGGCCUCCUCCGUUGCUCCCCAUUCGAUCUGGCGCUUGCAUGGGCAGCUAUACCAUUUAUAUAUUCUAAGAGGCUCCAAAAUCUGUGGCUAUACAGGAUCCAAGCAUCGCAAGAUUGAGGUGGCUAACACAAUGGAGCUCCUCCUGAGAGGCUCACACUAAGUGAGGGCUAAAUUGUGAGAUAUCCUUGUUUGGUCCUUUCCAUAUACCUACAAGGCAUGAAUGAAGAUGGCAUGGUUUAUCAUUGAACUGAAUGCUUCCAUGGAACUUUGGUUUCAGUAACAACACACGUUGGUGUCAAGACGAGCGACAUGGCCUGUUAUGAUCAACAACUUCUGAGUCAUAGGAUUUGAUGCAUUAUUCUGUGUGAAAAGGGGCAAUGAAUGCGUGAAUUAAGUUUUUUUGGUUUGAAGCAACUAGCAAUUUCUAUGUAUAACUAUACUAACAGAUGAGAGCAUGUGUGCAUAUGUGGUUUUCAAGGAGAAUUAUGUGACCAUGGCGUUCGUGCUCGUCUGCGGGACGGUGCAAGGCGCAACUCUGACGCGGUCGCGUGGUGGAUGUGCGGUGUAGGAAGCGGUUCCUUGCCGGUUGGACGGCGUGCACUGAGUACUGCCUCGGCUACAACCUCCCUCGGUGAGCUCCAUCUUCCUCCUGCUCCUCUGCUUUGGCUACUGUAUGGGACAUGGCCAUCGAGAAUCGAGAAAUAAGGAUGCCAGUGAGCCUCUAGCCUCCUCAGCGAUUUGGGCUUCCUGGCCGUUGGAUCGAAGCGCUUGAUGCAAUCUGAGCCGUCGGAUCAAGCCCUGGAACGACCUCAUCCGUCGGAUAAAAAAUAGUUACUACUGGAAUGAACAGUUUCACCUCGACCGUGCCACCGCGCGUAAAUAGCCUGCCCCGCCGGGGGCAUUCUCGCCAUUUCGCUUUAUCUGUGGCUGGCGUUCGUGCUAGGGCGAUGAUGAUUAACUGUGGCUGGAAUAAGUGUGCCUUUGAGCAAUCAAGGCACCUGUGGGUAUCAAGUUGGAUCCUCCCUGUUGUCUCUAGAAUCCUUUUUGAUCCUGUGAUACCUAUUGAUCUGUCCUUGGAUGGUCAUUCUUGUUGAGUGAUAAUCAGGGCAGCUCCAUUGUGUAAACAGAUUGAUCUGGUGAUAAGAGAUGAUGGGGGUAGGUUAUAUGAUCGAGAAAAGGCGAAUCUGAGCCCACUAUGCAAUAAAACUGCAGCUACCUCCCCUAAUGUGUGUAGUAUUGAAGGCAAAAGAGAACUUUUAAUGUCUUGCUACUUUAAAAUUCCGAAAAGGUGCAUUCUUCCUUUGUUGGUUACUUAACCAUGCUUUUUGUUUUUCUUUGGUUCUGGUUGAGAUACUAAAGGUUGUUUAUUUAUGAAAAGAACAAACACUUGUAGUUUUGUAUGCCUCAGCUGUUGCUUAGGAUCCAGUGUUGUAGUGCUUUGCCUAAUUAUAAAUAACUCUAAUCAAUAAUAGUGGUAUCAAUAAUAGUGGUUCUUUCCUUCUGAUUUGAACUGAGAGAGAGAGCCAUUGAUUCUUGAUCUUAAGGUGACCCCAUUUUUCUAUGCCUCAUGCUCAUGCUGCUCUAUGUUCCCUUUUAAAAAUUCUUGCUUGCAUUUUGGGUUGGUUUCUGCUCUAUGUUCCCUUUUAGCGUUUCUUUCCGUUGUUGCUGCACUCCCUUUUGGGCGUUCAUUUCAUGCCCAGGAUCUUGCAAAUUGUGCCUGUGUCAAGCUUGCUUUAGAGUAUGGGCUGCGGAGACGUCGAGGACCUCAAGGUCACCGAUGUUGUGGAGCUAGACGAGGUUUCCACGCAGUUCAUCGACCGCCUGUUCUUCCUGGAGAAGGAUCCUGAACCUCAACAACAACCCCUACUGAUUCACAUCGACAUCGUCGUGGUCUGUCUUCAACGACACCCGGGGCGCUGUCAGAUAAUGGCCGUGGACCAGCAACUGCGCCAAUGAUCCUGCCAUGGCGGCGCUAUGGAUGACACGUCACCAUAACCACAUUGAUGGUCCAAGCCCCAGGUGUACACCCUGCUAUUAUGUCAGAGGUUUGGGAGUUCUUACUUGGUCGUUUGAUCUCGAGAACACCUUUGAUGAGCACGAGCAAAUUGGGCAGACCAUAAGGCGAAUAUGACAUUUCCCGUGCGAGAUCAAAUGACUUGAGCAUUACUUUGGUUCAACUGUCCCUCUCAUCAAGUAUUAUGUUUGCGAGAUGAACAAGACUUUCAUGACUCCUGGACAGAGGAUGUGCUUCUCCUGUCGCUUCACGAAGCUAUAUCUAAAGGACCAUCUCAAUGAACCGGUCGAGGACAUGAUGGUGAAACUCAACACUUGAGGUGUCACAAGACAGGUCCGUAUAAUAAUGGACACGAACAAGAGGGCCAUGAUAACAAACAAUUUGUAACUUUGUCAAAGCAGCAGGGGUCAUAGAGUUUCAGAGAUGAGUCUUUGCCUUUGAGAUUGAAAGGGGGGAACUAACGCUUACCGUCCAUAAGCUUUAAAAUGCUAAGAUACAAAAUCGCAUGUGCACUGUCUGUACAGAAAUCAUUAUAUACAGUUUAUCUCACAAGUUGUUUGCAUCAGGUUCAUGUGAAGUGCCACCUAUGAGGUUGAUCGAUAAGGCAGUUGAAUGAAGCCACUUAUUAGUAUGCUUAAUAGCUAUGGUUUCGUAGUCGUUUCUCCUUUAUUAUGUUCUCCUUUUAUUAUUUUCCCUCCUAUAUUUACGCUUUUGGUUUCGAACAUAAUGCCGGGU